rnacentral:rRNA from 1 species
AGAGACAGCAGCCCCGCGGUAAUACGUAGGUGGCAAGCGUUGUCCGGAAUUAUUGGGCGUAAAGGGCUCGCAGGCGGUUUCUUAAGUCUGAUGUGAAAGCCCCCGGCUCAACCGGGGAGGGUCAUUGGAAACUGGGAAACUUGAGUGCAGAAGAGGAGAGUGGAAUUCCACGUGUAGCGGUGAAAUGCGUAGAGAUGUGGAGGAACACCAGUGGCGAAGGCGACUCUCUGGUCUGUAACUGACGCUGAGGAGCGAAAGCGUGGGGAGCAAACAGGAUUAGAUACCCCUGUAGUCCCUGUCUCUUAUACA